GUUGGAUAUCAGGAAAAACUUCUUUACAGUAAGGGCACUGGCAUAGGCUCCCCAGGGAGGUGGUUGAGUCACCGUCCCUGGAUGUGUUUAAAAACCGUUUGGAUGUGGUGCUCAGGGCCAUGAUUUAGCGGAGGGUUUUUAGAUAGGGUAGUAUGGUUAGGUCAUGGUUGGACUCAGUGAUCUUUAAGGUCUUUUCCAACCUGAGUUUUCCAAGUGUCACUAAGCCAUUUUGCAGUAGGGUCAGAUGAAUGACCCUACUGAUUGAUGAUUGAUGAUUGACUCUGAAGUUGACACAUGAAGGGCAUACUCGGCUUUAGGUACCACACAGCCUUUGGUCACAGCCUCCUCUGUCAUAUCUACUCAUCAGCAGAUCUGGCUGCCAUUAGAAUAUAACUCACAACUUCAGCUAGACUGGCAUUAUUAUUAAUUUUUGCCCUUCUCUUUGUGGAUGUGACAUUGAGUAGAAGAGAAAAACAGCCACACCUGUGUCCACACCUACAGAGUAUGUGUAGUACCAACUUGACACUGCAAUAUUCUUGAAAAUCCUGUGGGCCCACAGGAUGGAAGCAUCAGAGCAUGGGACUGGUAUCUCAGUGGAACAUGAGACACAUGACCUGUAACAAGAAGGCUUUGUCCUCUGUGCAACAGCAGCCAGAUCAGUGAGUAACUGAAGAAGGCAACCUGCUGAUUGUAACACAGCAUGGGAAACAACAUGUUGAUUCUCCACGAAGAGAAAACCAAAAUACUUAAUAGGCUGGACUCCCAGUACUGGAAACUGCCAUCACCGAGCCCACUGGUGCAAUCCUGUUGUGAUGUUUGUGCCCACCAUCCUGAUCUGCUGAGGUCCUAGAUGGAGCUCCGCACUGACCUGCAUGCAAUGCAAGCGUGCUUCCAGCCUUUGGCAGCCUUUCAGCAAUGAGAUUGCACCUGCGUCUUGUGAAAGUCACAUUGCACCUCUCAGGAGUAAUGCUGAAUCCUUAAGGUGGCACUGUGUGUACCAGCACUGAUGUUCUGCAAGGACUAGAAGAAACUUCUGAGGGAAGCACACUGGUCAAGGCUGCCAUGUAUGGAACUGUGAGUAUGAAGACAGACCAGGGCACCAGACCACCUGCAAUAGCAAUGAUCAGUUCCAUGGAGAAAGCUUGGAGAAAGCUGUUCCAUAGAAACUUUUAGAUGAACACUCGAUGAAAAGAAAGUCAUCUUGCUCCUCGGUGUGACUGCAUGAAAAUCUACUGGGACAAGUUCACAUGAAUAACUGGCACAGAGCCCGCUGUUAUACAACGUGAUCCAGAACGUGUGGCUGACGCUUCGCUCGAGCUAAGCCUGCCUUUCUCAGCACUGUUGCUGUGGGCAGGAACGCGCACGAUGCUCUAUUCUGCUGCUUUGAGCCCGUCUCAAAACCACGUUCUCGCUUUCUUGGGAGCAUCGAGCAAAGGCGAUCCCCCUCUUGUGGAAGGAGGUGGAACGCCACUGCGAGUUCUAAAUUCUGCUUCCAAGCCUCCGCACGCUCGGAGCCAGACCGGACCUGGAGAAAGCCGGAGAAAGGUGUGCAGCUCUCCUUAUUUAUUGGCGUGAUGUGGGCAAGAGCACAAGUAAGGUAUCGUUAUCCGAACAAAGAUGUUUUGGUUCAGAUACAUACUGCAUCGUUACAACCUUCUCUUGUGAAGUUCUUCUCUUGUGCUGCUGUUGGUGCACAUCUAACCGAGGUGUCUGGUUCAGAAGCCUGGCGUUGAAUUUAUGGCAAUCACCAGCAAAUUGGCCUCUCUUCUGUUUCUAAAUGACUCUUUGCACUUCUAAAUUACUCUUUGCAACUCUAUAAGGAGAAAGGAUUUAUUACAACUUUAAGCCCAGUGCAUAUUCCUUUCUGAUCUCUGCAUGUAGAUGAGUGUUCUCAAACAGCCCCAGGUUUUUUCUUGCGUUGGUCUGGUGUUAUUGUUUGUUUGUUUUGUAUUUUUUCCCCCCAAUUCAAACUCUGCCCUCCCUCUGUGAGGUGUGGCCCACUGUUGGUUUUGGCUCUGUGAAAUAAACAUUUUUGAGCGCUGCGUAAACAUA
ensembl:lncRNA